UACAGAGGGUGCAAGCGUUGUUCGGAAUUAUUGGGCGUAAAGGGCGCGUAGGCGGGUCUUUAAGUCAGGGGUGAAAUCCUGGAGCUCAACUCCAGAACUGCCUUUGAUACUGAGGAUCUUGAGUUCGGGAGAGGUGAGUGGAACUGCGAGUGUAGAGGUGAAAUUCGUAGAUAUUCGCAAGAACACCAGUGGCGAAGGCGGCUCACUGGCCCGAUACUGACGCUGAGGAGCGAAAGCGUGGGGAGCGAACAGG
rnacentral:rRNA from 1 species